UACGAAGGGGGCGAGCGUUGUUCGGAUUUACUGGGCGUAAAGGGCGCGCAGGCGGCUCAUUUUGUCAGGCGUGAAAGCCCCGGGCUUAACCUGGGAACUGCGUUUGAUACGGAUGGGCUAGAGUUCGGGAGAGGAGAGUGGAAUUCCCAGUGUAGAGGUGAAAUUCGUAGAUAUUGGGAAGAACACCCGUGGCGAAGGCGGCUCUCUGGGACGGUACUGACGCUGAGACGCGAAAGCGUGGGGAGCGAGCAGG
rnacentral:rRNA from 1 species